UACGAAGGGGGCUAGCGUUGUUCGGAAUCACUGGGCGUAAAGGGCGCGUAGGCGGCCUGAUAAGUCGGGGGUGAAAGCCUGUGGCUCAACCACAGAAUUGCCUUCGAUACUGUUAGGCUUGAGACCGGAAGAGGUAAGUGGAACUGCGAGUGUAGAGGUGAAAUCCGUAGAUAUUCGCAAGAACACCAGUGGCGAAGGCGGCUCACUGGCCCGAUACUGACGCUGAGGCACGAAAGCGUGGGGAGCAAACAGG
rnacentral:rRNA from 1 species